rnacentral:rRNA from 1 species
UACAGAGGGGGCAAGCGUUGUUCGGAAUUACUGGGCGUAAAGGGCUCGUAGGCGGCCAACUAAGUCGGACGUGAAAUCCCUCGGCUUAACCGGGGAACUGCGUCCGAUACUGGAUGGCUUGAGUGUGGGAGAGGGAUGCGGAAUUCCAGGUGUAGCGGUGAAAUGCGUAGAUAUCUGGAGGAACACCGGUGGCGAAGGCGGCAUCCUGGACUACUACUGACGCUGAGGGAGCGAAAGCCAGGGGAGCAAACGGG